UGUUGUGUCUUCUGAACUUGCAUUUUUCCAAAGCUCUCCAACCCAACAUGCAUGAGUAUUCUCAUCAACCAUGAAACCAAACCAAGUACCAGGUAGCCAGGUACGUUUACUUGCACUCUUUCGGAUGAAUGAAUGAAUAAAAUCUUUGAAAUACAUGUAUGUAUAAUUACAAAGGCAUAGCUUCAUAAUUAUUUUUUUCAUCCAUCUUUGAAAUACAUGUAUGUAUAAUUACAAAGGUAUAGGAAAUGAGAAACUAUAGUUAGGACUUUGUCACACAAGUAAAAUAUAUAUAACUUUGAUUCUUCAUUGUUUCUGCUUUUAUUUACCUUGUUCAUUCUUUGUUGCUAUGGAUAUAUGUUGUUGCCUUUUCAUCAUUUACAUGCUCAAGCUUUUAAUUUAUGUUUCCCUUUCACGUUUUAGGUGUUUAUAUCAAUUAAUGUCAUUACUCAUUAGUACACGUUAAGAUCCAUGUUUUAUUCCAUUAAGAUUUGUAGUAAUUUUGAGACAUGCAAAUGAAAAAACAAGCAAGUGAAGUCCAUAAUGAUUUUCAGCAAUUUUUGUUUGCUACUAUGUUUUUGUUAACGUGAAAUGGAGGUCCCAAUUUUUACUUUCAGCUAACAUUUUGUGAUCCCAAUUUGACAUCCCAAAACCAAAUCUGAAAAUUAAGAUCUUGCAUGGUUUGUUUUUCAGUUUUAAGGUUGUUGUAAUUGUAAUAUCAUACCGUUACCAACAAAUAAAAUUGUAUAUCAUACAUUUCUUUAUUGUUUUUUAUAUUAUUUCUUUGUCACUAUUAGAAAUUGUAUAUCAUAAAUUUCUUUGAUUACAAAAAUUGUAUAUCAUAAAUUUUUAUAUUAUUUUUUUAUCUUACAUAAAUUUUACAAUUUAGUUUGAUAGCACAUCACUAUUAUUUGGAAACAUUUUUCACAUUAUUUUUUUAUUUUUUUUAUAUUAUUUCCUUGUCACUAUCUAAUCCAUCUCAAACAUAGCAUAGAAAUAAUAAAACCAUGUACGUCAUUUGUAUUCAACUGUCUUUGAUUAUCUAAAAAAAAAAAAAAAUUCAACUGUCUUUUUUUUAGGCUAUAUUCAACUGUCUUGCAGCAUUUGCCAAAAAUACAUUGCUAACAUAUCUGGUGUAUAUUAUUGAUUAAUUGUUAAGUCAUUGUAUUUUAAUUUUUGGUAUAAGUUAAGUCAUUCUAUUGCCAAAAUGUUGGUGUUUCAAUGGUAGUUUUCAUCAACAUAUUUCAUGAAAAUUAAAACGAGGGUUUUACUAAGGUGCCCAAGAAUGUUUUCAGUUCUGUAAUUCGGUAACAUUGUGGUGUCUUUUUACUCUCCAUCCCCACAUUUAGGAAUUUAUGUAGUAUCAUCAGUUAAAGUGUUUUUUCAAGUGAUUUGAUUGACAAUUUUUUAUAAAUUAAUAUUUAAAAACUAGAGUGAAUCUAUAUGCUCAAAUAUGUUAAAAACAAGGUACACAUAUUCUAUUUCUGUGGUCAUGAAUCAUGACAUUCAUCAUGUGGUAUGGAGCAGAAUUUGUAUAAGUUUAAAAUAAUCUGACUAAUGUACAACAUUAUAUUAUUACAUAGUGUAUCAAAGAAAAGUGGACCAUUCACCCUCUUCUCUAUCCCUUUGAUGUAUUGGCUAUACAUUCAUCAUGUCAAUAAGGGUUAUGUUGGAUUCAUAACUCAUCCCUUUGGGAGAAAUCUUGGUUUCCUAUGAGAAAAAAAUUGCCUUAUACACGAGCCUCUUCUAGCUUAACCCCAAGCUUAACGCCAUGAGAAAACAGAGUCAAAAUCUUCCACUUGAGGGUUUGCUAAAUUAUAUAUUACCCACCU